CCUACGGGAGGCAGCAGUGAGGAAUAUUGGUCAAUGGUCGGGAGACUGAACCAGCCAAGCCGCGUGAGGGAGGAAGGUACAGAGUAUCGUAAACCUCUUUUGUCAGGGAACAAAGGCGGGGACGUGUCCCCGGCUGAGUGUACCUGAAGAAAAAGCAUCGGCUAACUCCGUGCCAGCAGCCGCGGUACUCCGGAGGAUGCGAGCGUUCUCCGGAUUUAUUGGGUUUAAAGGGAGCGUAGACGGCAGCGCAAGUCUGGCGUGAAAUCCCAUGGCUUAACCAUGGAACUGCUUUGGAAACUGUGCAGCUGGAGUGCAGGAGAGGUAAGCGGAAUUCCUAGUGUAGCGGUGAAAUGCGUAGAUAUUAGGAGGACCACCAGUGGCGAAGGCGGCUUACUGGACUGUAACUGACGUUGAGGCUCGAAAGCGUGGGGAGCAAACAGGAUUAGAUACCCUUGUAGUC
rnacentral:rRNA from 1 species